rnacentral:snRNA from 1 species
AUCGCUUCUCGGCCUUUUGGCUAAGAUCAAGUGUAGUAUCUGUUCUUAUCAGUUUAAAAAGAUAGGUAGUACAUAAAUCCAACUAUUGCUAUUAACACACACUCUUU